rnacentral:rRNA from 1 species
UACGUAGGGUGCGAGCGUUAAUCGGAAUUACUGGGCGUAAAGCGUGCGCAGGCGGUUUUGUAAGACAGGCGUGAAAUCCCCGGGCUUAACCUGGGAAUUGCGCUUGUGACUGCAAGGCUAGAGUGCGUCAGAGGGGGGUAGAAUUCCACGUGUAGCAGUGAAAUGCGUAGAGAUGUGGAGGAAUACCGAUGGCGAAGGCAGCCCCCUGGGACGUGACUGACGCUCAUGCACGAAAGCGUGGGGAGCAAACAGGAUUAGAUACCCUGGUAGUCCACGCCCUAAACGAUGUCAACUAGUUGUUGGGGAUUCAUUUUCUCAGUAACGUAGCUAACGCGUGAAGUUGACCGCCUGGGGAGUACGGUCGCAAGAUUAAA